rnacentral:rRNA from 1 species
UACAGAGGUCUCAAGCGUUGUUCGGAUUCACUGGGCGUAAAGGGUGCGCAGGCGGCCGUGUGUGUGAGGCGUGAAAGCCCGAUGCUUAACAUCGGAAUUGCACCUCAAACUACACGGCUAGAGCAUUGGAGAGGGUAGCGGAAUUCACGGUGUAGCAGUGAAAUGCGUAGAUAUCGUGAGGAACACCAGAGGCGAAGGCGGCUACCUGGACAAUUGCUGACGCUCAGGCACGAAAGCUAGGGGAGCAAACGGG